AACGAACGCUGGCGGCAGGCCUAACACAUGCAAGUCGAACGCUCCGCAAGGGGAGUGGCGCACGGGAGAGUAACGCGUGGGAACCUACCUAUUGGUUCGGGAUAACAUCGGGAAACUGGUGCUAAUACCGGAUAAGCCCGAGAGGGGAAAGAUUUAUUGCCAAUAGAUGGGCCCGCGUUAGAUUAGCUUGUUGGUGAGGUAAAGGCUCACCAAGGCGACGAUCUAUAGCUGGUCUGAGAGGAUGAUCAGCCUCACUGGGACUGAGACACGGCCCAGACUCCUACGGGAGGCAGCAGUGGGGAAUAUUGGACAAUGGGGGAAACCCUGAUCCAGCCAUGCCGCGUGAAUGAUGAAGGCCUUCGGUUGUAAAGUUCUUUGGUAGGGA
rnacentral:rRNA from 1 species